CUUCACGGCCGCACAGGCCGCUCAGAAA
rnacentral:other from 1 species